rnacentral:rRNA from 1 species
UCGAACGGCAGCACGGGAGCAAUCCUGGUGGCGAGUGGCGAACGGGUGAGUAAUACAUCGGAACGUGCCCAGUAGUGGGGGAUAGCCCGGCGAAAGCCGGAUUAAUACCGCAUACGACCUAAGGGUGAAAGCGGGGGAUCGCAAGACCUCGCGCUAUUGGAGCGGCCGAUGGCAGAUUAGGUAGUUGGUGGGGUAAAGGCCUACCAAGCCUGCGAUCUGUAGCUGGUCUGAGAGGACGACCAGCCACACUGGGACUGAGACACGGCCCAGACUCCUACGGGAGGCAGCAGUGGGGAAUUUUGGACAAUGGGCGCAAGCCUGAUCCAGCCAUGCCGCGUGCGGGAAGAAGGCCUUCGGGUUGUAAACCGCUUUUGUCAGGGAAGAAACGCUCCGGGCCAAUACCCUGGAGUAAUGACGGUACCUGAAGAAUAAGCACCGGCUAACUACGUGCCAGCAGCCGCGGUAAUACGUAGGGUGCGAGCGUUAAUCGGAAUUACUGGGCGUAAAGCGUGCGCAGGCGGUCAUGCAAGACAGAUGUGAAAUCCCCGGGCUUAACCUGGGAACUGCAUUUGUGACUGCAUGGCUUGAGUGCGGCAGAGGGGGAUGGAAUUCCGCGUGUAGCAGUGAAAUGCGUAGAUAUGCGGAGGAACACCGAUGGCGAAGGCAAUCCCCUGGGCCU